UCAGUUUAUUUUUUUCGUUAUCACAGCACUCCUCAAGUUUGAUAAAGUUACUGAUACUGACUUUGCCGGUACGAAUUAUUAUAUCUUCAUCACCUUAUAUUUUUGUUUCUUUGAAUUUUCUCUUUCAAGUUCAUGAAAUUUUACCUUAUCCACCGUUGAAAAGAAUAUAAUACGUAGAAUUUAUUGAAAUUUAAGGAAAGGUUCAGUUUCGGCUUAAACUUUGGUGGCUUGGGAAUACAUGUUGUUUCAUUCUUGUACAAAUUUCUGGUAUUGUUUUGCUCUUUUUUCUCCUUUGUUUUGGGUUGAGAGGAGGUGUGGAAUGGGGCUAUUCUUUUGAGAUUUGGAAAGUGCUCUUUUAUCAGUGUUGUUAAUCUGACACUUUUUAUCAUACACGAUAAUCUUUUUUUAAUUACUGGAACAGGGAAGCUGAGUCUUUCUAAAUACAAUUUCUCAGAGAUGUCAAUCAAUUCUUUUAGACGUGUGCUUCAAUGAUAGUAUGUAACUUUAUGCCCCAGUAAACUCUCUCUCUCUCACACACACCGCGCAAGUGCAUUAGCUUUCUUAUUCUAUUUUAGUGAUUAUUGGACUGAUUCAGACUCGAUUUUCCUAUUUAUAGGCGCCAUGAGUUCACUUAUACUUCACAAGUUGCCUCUUAAAACAGUGGGAUAGUCUAUGUUGGCCUUAGAAUCAUGGCAAAGUUAUCAUUAUUUGGGAUAAAUUUUAAAUACCUACUACACUAAUAGAGUCUCGUGGCCUAUCUUCUUUACGUACCUUAACCAAUCCAUUCAUCGUGCACCAUGGUAGUAUUUUCCAUUGGAGCACCUCCAUUAUGAAUACCAUUCUGUUUGACUUAAACUUUGUUUAUGCUUAUAUUAUUCCCCUUCUUUUUAUUUUGGGGN
rnacentral:lncRNA from 1 species